rnacentral:rRNA from 1 species
GGGAGCAAUCCUGGUGGCGAGUGGCGAACGGGUGAGUAAUAUAUCGGAGCGUGCCCAGUCGUGGGGGAUAACGCAGCGAAAGCUGUGCUAAUACCGCAUACGAUCUCUGGAUGAAAGCGGGGGACUCGUAAGAGCCUCGCGCGAUUGGAGCGGCCGAUAUCAGAUUAGCUAGUUGGUGGGGUAAAGGCCCACCAAGGCGACGAUCUGUAGCUGGUCUGAGAGGACGACCAGCCACACUGGAACUGAGACACGGUCCAGACUCCUACGGGAGGCAGCAGUGGGGAAUUUUGGACAAUGGGCGCGAGCCUGAUCCAGCAAUGCCGCGUGCAGGAUGAAGGCCUUCGGGUUGUAAACUGCUUUUGUACGGAACGAAAAGGUCUGCCUUAAUACGGUGGGCCCAUGACGGUACCGUAAGAAUAAGCACCGGCUAACUACGUGCCAGCAGCCGCGGUAAUACGUAGGGUGCGAGCGUUAAUCGGAAUUACUGGGCGUAAAGCGUGCGCAGGCGGUUAUAUAAGACAGAUGUGAAAUCCCCGGGCUCAACCUGGGACCUGCAUUUGUGAUUGUAUAGCUAGAGUACGGUAGAGGGGGAUGGAAUUCCGCGUGUAGCAGUGAAAUGCGUAGAUAUGCGGAGGAACACCGAUGGCGAAGGCAAUCCCCUGGACCUGUACUGACGCUCAUGCACGAG